rnacentral:rRNA from 2 species
UGGAUUAAGUGGCGAACGGGUGAGUAACACGUGGGCAAUCUGCCCUUCACUCUGGGACAAGCCCUGGAAACGGGGUCUAAUACCGGAUAUGAGCCUGGGAGGCAUCUCCCGGGCUGUAAAGCUCCGGCGGUGAAGGAUGAGCCCGCGGCCUAUCAGCUUGUUGGUGAGGUAAUGGCUCACCAAGGCGACGACGGGUAGCCGGCCUGAGAGGGCGACCGGCCACACUGGGACUGAGACACGGCCCAGACUCCUACGGGAGGCAGCAGUGGGGAAUAUUGCACAAUGGGCGAAAGCCUGAUGCAGCGACGCCGCGUGAGGGAUGACGGCCUUCGGGUUGUAAACCUCUUUCAGCAGGGAAGAAGCGAAAGUGACGGUACCUGCAGAAGAAGCGCCGGCUAACUACGUGCCAGCAGCCGCGGUAAUACGUAGGGCGCAAGCGUUGUCCGGAAUUAUUGGGCGUAAAGAGCUCGUAGGCGGCUUGUCACGUCGAUUGUGAAAGCCCGAGGCUUAACCUCGGGUCUGCAGUCGAUACGGGCUAGCUAGAGUGUGGUAGGGGAGAUCGGAAUUCCUGGUGUAGCGGUGAAAUGCGCAGAUAUCAGGAGGAACACCGGUGGCGAAGGCGGAUCUCUGGGCCAUUACUGACGCUGA